UGCGUAGGCGGACUAAUAAGUCAGUGGUGAAAUCUCACGGCUCAACCGGGAAACUGCCAUUGAUACUGUUAGUCUUGAGUUCGGUUGAGGUAGGCGGAAUGUGUAAUGUAGCGGUGAAAUGCUUAGAUAUUACACAGAACACCAAUUGCGUAGGCAGCUUACUAGACCGACACUGACGCUGAGGCACGAAAGCGUGGGUAGCGAACAGGAUUAGAUACCCUGGUAGUC
rnacentral:rRNA from 1 species